AUUGAACGCUGGCGGCAUGCUUUACACAUGCAAGUCGAACGGUAACAGGGUGCUUGCACCGCUGACGAGUGGCGAACGGGUGAGUAAUGCGUCGGAACGUGCCGAUGAGUGGGGGAUAACGCAGCGAAAGUUGUGCUAAUACCGCAUACGUACUGAGGUAGAAAGUGGGGGACCUUCGGGCCUUACGCUAUUCGAGCGGCCGACGUCUGAUUAGCUAGUAGGUGAGGUAAAGGCUCACCUAGGCGACGAUCAGUAGCGGGUCUGAGAGGAUGAUCCGCCACACUGGGACUGAGACACGGCCCAGACUCCUACGGGAGGCAGCAGUGGGGAAUUUUGGACAAUGGGCGAAAGCCUGAUCCAGCCAUGCCGCGUGUCUGAAGAAGGCCUUCGGGUUGUAAAGGACUUUUGUCAGGGAGGAAAUCCCUAGUGCUAAUAACACUGGGGGAUGACAGUACCUGAAGAAUAAGCACCGGCUAACUACGUGCCAGCAGCCGCAGUAA
rnacentral:rRNA from 1 species